rnacentral:rRNA from 1 species
UACGUAGGGCGCAAGCGUUGUCCGGAAUUAUUGGGCGUAAAGAGCUCGUAGGCGGCCUGUUACGUCUGCUGUGAAAUCCCGGGGCUUAACCCCGGGCGUGCAGUGGAUACGGGCAGGCUGGAGGCAGGCAGGGGAGAACGGAAUUCCCGGUGUAGCGGUGAAAUGCGCAGAUAUCGGGAGGAACACCGGGGGCGAAGGCGGGGCUCUGGGCCGGUACUGACGCUGAGGAGCGAAAGCGUGGGGAGCGAACAGG